GACGAACGCUGGCGGCGUGCUUAACACAUGCAAGUCGAACGGAAAGGCCCUGCUUUUGUUGGGUUCUCGAUUGGCGAACGGGUGAGUAACACGUGAGUAUCCUGCCCUUGACUUUGUGGUAACUUCAGGAAACUCGGGCUAAUACCGGAUAGGAUCUCCUGCUGCAUGUUGUGGGUUGGUAAGUUUCGGCUGUUGGGGAUGGUCUCGAGGCUUAUCAGCUAGUUGGGGGGGUAGUGUUUUACCAAGGCUUUGAGGGGUAGGCGGCAUGAGAGGGUGACCGGCCACAUUGGGCCUGAGAUACGGCCCAGACUCCUACCGGCGGCAGCAGUCGGGAAUAUUGCACAAUGGGCGGAAGUCUGAUGCAGAAACGCCGCGUGCGGGAUGACGUCCUUCGGGUUGUAAACCGAUUUCGACUGUGACGAAGAGUGAGUGACGGUAAUGGGUAAAGAAGCACCGGCUAACUACGUG
rnacentral:rRNA from 1 species